rnacentral:rRNA from 1 species
GGGUUGUGAGGUUAAGCGAAUAAGCGUACACGGUGGAUGCCUAGGCAAUCAGAGGCGAUGAAGGACGUGCUAAUCUGCGAAAAGCGUCGGUAAGGUGAUAUGAACCGUUAUACCCGACGAUAUCCGAAUGGGGAAACCCAGUAUCCAAUGGAUACUAUCAUUAACUGAAUCCAUAGGUUAAUGAGGCGAACCGGGAGAACUGAAACAUCUCAGUACCCCGAGGAAAAGAAAUCAACCGAGAUUCCCCUAGUAGCGGCGAGCGAACGGGGAGCAGCCCAGAGUCUUAAUCAAUAGCAGUGUCAGGAGAACGGUCUGGAAAGUCCGGCAGUAAAGGGUGAUAGCCCCGUAUCUGAAGAUGCUGUUAUUGUGAACUCGACGAGUAGGGCGGGACACGUGUUAUCCUGUCUGAAUAUGGGGGGACCAUCCUCCAAGGCUAAAUACUCCUGAUUGACCGAUAGUGAACCAGUACCGUGAGGGAAAGGCGAAAAGAACCCCGGCGAGGGGAGUGAAAAAGAACCUGAAACCGUGUACGUACAAGCAGUAGGAGCCUCUUUAUGGGGUGACUGCGUACCUUUUGUAUAAUGGGUCAGCGACUUAUAUUCUGUAGCAAGGUUAACCGUAUAGGGGAGCCGUAGGGAAACCGAGUCUUAACUGGGCGAAUGAGUUGCAGGGUAUAGACCCGAAACCCGGUGAUCUAUCCAUGGGCAGGUUGAAGGUUGGGUAACACUAACUGGAGGACCGAACCGACUAAUGUUGAAAAAUUAGCGGAUGACUUGUGGAUGGGGGUGAAAGGCCAAUCAAACCGGGAGAUAGCUGGUUCUCCCGAAAGCUAUUUAGGUAGCGCCUCGUGAACUCAUCUUCGGGGGUAGAGCACUGUUUCGACUAGGGGGUCAUCCCGACUUACCAACUCGAUGCAAACUGCGAAUACCGAAGAAUGUUAUCACGGGAGACACACGGCGGGUGCUAACGUCCGUCGUGAAGAGGGAAACAACCCAGACCGCCAGCUAAGGUCCCAAAGUCAUGGUUAAGUGGGAAACGAAGUGGGAAGGCUCAGACAGCCAGGAUGUUGGCUUAGAAGCAGCCAUCAUUUAAAGAAAGCGUAAUAGCUCACUGGUCGAGUCGGCCCGCGCGGAAGAUGUAACGGGGCUAAACCAUGCACCGAAGCUGCGGCAGCGACACAUAGUGUUGUUGGGUAGGGGAGCGUUCUGUAAGCCUGCGAAGGUGUACUGUGAGGUAUGCUGGAGGUAUCAGAAGUGCGAAUGCUGACAUAAGUAACGAUAAUGCGGGUGAAAACCCGCACGCCGGAAGACCAAGGGUUCCUGUCCAACGUUAAUCGGGGCAGGGUGAGUCGACCCCUAAGGCGAGGCUGAAAAGCGUAGUCGAUGGGAAACGGGUUAAUAUUCCCGUACUGGUGGUAACUGCGAUGGGGGAACGGAGAAGGCUAGGUUGUCCGGGCGACGGUCGUCCCGGUUCAAGCAGGUAGGCAGAGUGAUUAGGCAAAUCCGGUCACUUAAUGCUGAGAUGUGAUGACGAACCACCAAGGUGGUGAAGCAAUUGAUGCCCCGCUUCCAGGAAAAGCCUCUAAGCUUCAGGUUACCAACAAUCGUACCCCAAACCGACACAGGUGGUCAGGUAGAGAAUACUCAGGCGCUUGAGAGAACUCGGGUGAAGGAACUAGGCAAAAUGGUGCCGUAACUUCGGGAGAAGGCACGCUGGCGGUAGGUAAAGUCCCUCGCGGACGGCGCCCAAGCCAGUCGAAGAUACCAGCUGGCUGCAACUGUUUAUUAAAAACACAGCACUGUGCAAACACGAAAGUGGACGUAUACGGUGUGACGCCUGCCCGGUGCUGGAAGGUUAAUUGAUGGGGUCAGCCGUAAGGCGAAGCUCCUGAUCGAAGCCCCAGUAAACGGCGGCCGUAACUAUAACGGUCCUAAGGUAGCGAAAUUCCUUGUCGGGUAAGUUCCGACCUGCACGAAUGGCGUAAUGAUGGCCAGGCUGUCUCCACCCGAGACUCAGUGAAAUUGAACUCGCUGUGAAGAUGCAGUGUACCCGCGGCAAGACGGAAAGACCCCGUGAACCUUUACUAUAGCUUGACACUGAACAUUGAGCCUUGAUGUGUAGGAUAGGUGGGAGGCUUUGAAGUGUGGACGCCAGUCUGCAUGGAGCCAACCUUGAAAUACCACCCUUUAACGUUUGAUGUUCUAACCUAGGCCCAUAAACUGGGUCGGGGACCGUGUCUGGUGGGUAGUUUGACUGGGGCGGUCUCCUCCUAAAGAGUAACGGAGGAGCACGAAGGUUGGCUAAGCAUGGUCGGACAUCAUGCGGUUAGUGCAAAGGCAUAAGCCAGCUUGACUGCGAGAGUGACGGCUCGAGCAGGUACGAAAGUAGGUCUUAGUGAUCCGGUGGUUCUGAAUGGAAGGGCCAUCGCUCAACGGAUAAAAGGUACUCCGGGGAUAACAGGCUGAUACCGCCCAAGAGUUCAUAUCGACGGCGGUGUUUGGCACCUCGAUGUCGGCUCAUCACAUCCUGGGGCUGAAGUAGGUCCCAAGGGUAUGGCUGUUCGCCAUUUAAAGUGGUACGCGAGCUGGGUUUAGAACGUCGUGAGACAGUUCGGUCCCUAUCUGCCGUGGGCGUUGGAAGAUUGAGAGGGGUUGCUCCUAGUACGAGAGGACCGGAGUGAACGCACCACUGGUGUUCGGGUUGUCAUGCCAAUGGCAUUGCCCGGUAGCUAAGUGCGGAAGAGAUAACCGCUGAAAGCAUCUAAGCGGGAAACUUGCCUCGAGAUGAGUCUUCCCUGUCGCUUUAAGCGACCUAAAGGAACGUUUAAGACUAAGACGUUGAUAGGCUGGGUGUGUAAGCGUAGCGAUACGUUGAGCUAACCAGUACUAAUGAACCGUGAGGCUUAACCUGACAACACCGAAAGUGUUUUG